AUGUACCAGAAGUACGUUGCCGAGUUGGACACGAUUACGCCUGAGCAGGUGGAAUGGCAGCCAUAUGGCACCGAUGACAGACUUGGGUACACCCCGGAGUUUACCAUCAACUCGAUGUGCUUGCGGGAUAGGGAUCUCUGGCGUAUGCGGUGCCCACUGAUAUGCAACUGGGCUGUUGAGUUUCAUUUGCCACAUCGCGUGUCUCGUCAGUUCGGUCUGUUCCAGCCUCACCCGCCGGAAUGGGUGGAUACGGACAAAGCACUUCAUAGGUUGGACAGGAGAAGGCAACGAAAGAUAAAGGACUGGGACAAGCAUCAUGCUUCAUAUGUUACCCGCUUCCAGCUUUAUGUGGAGGAAGCUCGUAGCAGUGCACGCGCCAAGCUUCGUGAGCAUUGUCCACUUGCUUUUGAUAACUACAUACGAUGGCUUCUUGAAAAUACUCGAGUUGAGAUAUGCCCGCCUGCAUAUAAUGAGGAUAUUCUUGAAGAACCCGUAAACUUUGAGGAUCUAUCAAAGGGGAAGUACAACAGAGAUGUCAGGGUAGGGCACGGAGUCCCUGCUGUUCUGGUGAUUAACUAUGUGCGCACCGAGAUCAAGAAAGCAGCUGAUGAGAGCCAGUCUAUUCUGGAGGAAACACUGGUUGGAAAAGGCAAUGAUGAUGGUCCACUCGUCAGGGCAGGAAGUUAA
rnacentral:rRNA from 1 species